AUGAACGCUGGCGGCAGGCCUAACACAUGCAAGUCGAGCGAUUAAGACCCUUUCGGGGGUGUAUAAAGCGGCAAACGGGUGAGUAAUACGUGGGAACGUACCUUUCGGUCUGGGAUAGCCCUGGGAAACUGGGAUUAAUACUGGAUACGUACUAAGGUAGAAAGAUUUAUCGCCGAAAGAUCGGCCCACGCCGGAUUAGCUAGUUGGUAGGGUAAUGGCCUACCAAGGCAACGAUCCGUAGCUGGUUUGAGAGGAUGAUCAGCCACACUGGGACUGAGAUACGGCCCAGACUCCUACGGGAGGCAGCAGUGAGGAAUAUUGCACAAUGGAGGAAACUCUGAUGCAGCCAUGCCGCGUGUGUGAUGAAGGCCUUAGGGUUGUAAAGCACUUUUAGUGGGAAAGAUAAUGACGGUACCCACAGAAAAAGCCCCGGCUAACUCCGU
rnacentral:rRNA from 1 species